rnacentral:rRNA from 1 species
GUGCCAGCCGCCGCGGUAAUACCGGCAGCUCAAGUGAUGUCCCAUAUUAUUGGGCCUAAAGCGUCCGUAGCUGGCCGCACAAGUCCGUCGGGAAAUCCGCCCGCCCAACGGGUGGGCGUCCGGUAGAAACUGGCCGGCUUGGAACCGGAAGGCUCAGAGAGUACGUCCGGGGUAGGAGUGAAAUCCCAUAAUCCCGCACGGACCACCGAUGGCGAAAGCACUUCGAGAAAACGGAUCCGACAGUGAGGGACGAAAGCCAGGGUCUCCAACCGGAUUAGAAACCCCGGUAGUCC